rnacentral:sRNA from 1 species
ACCUGAAAUGACCACAAGUCGGUGGUCUGCGUAACC